rnacentral:tRNA from 1 species
AAGCAAGAAACUUAUUGUACUGUGGUUUCGACCCAUAGCCAGGUGACUUUACACCCUUGCUUU